rnacentral:misc_RNA from 1 species
GAAAUGCGAUACUUGGUGUGAAUUGCAGAAUCCCGUGAACCAUCGAGUCUUUGAACGCAAGUUGCGCCCGAAGCCAUUAGGCCGAGGGCACGCCUGCCUGGGUGUCACACAUCGUUUACGGCGUGGACUACCAGGGUAUCUAAUCCGGUU